UUUGGUUUUGGUAAGAGCAGCUAAGACUGAUUCUUAUUCGUUUCCUAUCCCUAAUCUUCAAACGACGUCAACAAAUCAACAUGUGCAAUAGCAUCAUCCUUCUGAGAUUUUUUGAUUUCCCGUUGAUUUCCUGAAAAUUUAAGGGUGAUAGAAAUUUGUAAGCUCUAUAAUGAAAAGAGGGUUUUGUUUAUGUCCUUGGAAUUCGGUUCUGUGCUCAAUUAUAUUAUAGGAAUAUGGAGAAGGGAGUUCUGUACUCCAGAUUUAAGGUGAUAAUUGUCUGUGAUACUCUUGCACAAUCUGGAGAAGGGAGAUCACAUGCAUCAUUGUGGUAACAUUCAGCACCUAGGGAUCAUGUUGAGAUAAUCUGUAGGUCUAAGAUGGGAAUUGGAACACAAGACAUAAAUAAGAAGUUGAAGCGUGAUUCUGGAAGACUUUCCACUCCUAGAAAAGACCUACAGAUUUGGGCACCCAUUAACUUAUCUGGGUUUUCUUUUAGUAUCUAUAUCUAUCAUUCUCGAAUCCUUGGCAGGUGAUGGUGGUACGCUACGAACUUGCCUUAAGGAUGGGGUAGAUAUGCCCAGUUCAGUUUAGCAGAGGUUUGUAAUCGAAUUGAUCCAGUGAAGCAAUUAGGUAUUAGUAUUUGACACUUUCUGUUUCAUACACUUGAGCAAACCAAGUUCUUAACCUGCUCUAAUUUCCGAUGGAAUCAAUCAUGUGCAUCGAGACUGAUAUGCGCUACAAUUCUUGAAAAAAUGCUCCAUAUGGGUUCCAAAGCAGUCUCCAUGGGAGAUCGACAUACAAAUCAUGCAAACAAACUAAUCAAUGAUGGAUUAGGGGUUCUUGAAGUAGCGAUAUGAAGAUUAACAACGGUACCUGACAAAGUGGCAAGUUGGUUCGUCAUGGAUUUUUCUUCCACAAUCCCAUUUGAGACUUUUAGAUUCAUGUUUACAGGAAGCAGCAAUAUGUAUAUCUCCUAUUACAUAUUGGGUUUGCUCAAAUUUUGAAGUCUAAGAAAUCUCAAACAACUUUUCACAAGGUUUGUGAACUGCUGCCUAAAGGUAUUUGUUCCCACUGGCCAAUUAGGUCAGAGUCAACGUCCACAUCGAAUAUGGAGAAGGCACACCUUUGGCAGGUCAUAAGCCCAAGCACUUCUGCUUCCACAUCGAAUAUGGAGAAGGCACACCUUUGGCAGGUCAAUCCAGAGGAACAAACAAUGAAGUGCAUACAAAGAUCAAGAAAGAAAUCCUAAGUGUCACAUCGCCACACUAAAUCAAAUCAGGAUGGGGGAAGGCGAGGCGACGCCGAGCUUUACGACAUCAAAUCGGGACGUGGCGAGGCCGAAGCCGAACUUUACCAAUUCAAAUCAGGACGGGGCGAGGCGAGACGAACCCGAGAUUUACCAAAUCAGGACGGGGCGAGGCGAGGCGGGACGAAGCCACUCCUAAUCAACAAGGAUCACGAAGGGCGGGGCAAAGCCAUGCAACACCAAAUAAAAAAUGCAUUGAGACUGGGCGAGGCGAAGCCGAACCACACCCAAUCAAAAAUAUAUCAUGAUGGGGCGAGGCGCAACCCCACGACACCUAAUAAAAAAUAUGGCUAAAAGACACGGGCACAAAAUCUAGUAAAAUAUAAUUGUGAUUAGCCGCAUGCUACUCUAACACAACUUGCUCACAUUUCGUCCAAAUGACCCAAAUCUAAAAUUCUUUAGAAUGUCAUUCUUUUGGGGUCCAGGACAACCCGGAAAAAAGAAAACUAUCGGUUGCCUCGUUUACUAAAGAUCUGCACCCAGAAUCUCCACUUUGGCGGAGAUUAUUUUUUUUAAGUAAAGAUUGAACUUACAGCC